rnacentral:rRNA from 1 species
AUGCAUCUCCUGCGCACCGCAACCCUCCCCUUCCCGGCACAGCAGAAACAAGGAUGCCGAAGCGGUUCAGUUGCGACGAAGAGUAGGAAGAUCGGGCGGAUAGGGUUUCACAUACCUCUUCUACACUUACAAGUCUUCCUUUCCAGGAUUGCCAUGGGGGCUUUGGGGAUGGUGGCCUUGAUAUUCCGCACAGUGACAAGAGAUUUGUUGGCUUCAAGAAGGAUGAGAAGCAGCUGGACACUGAGAUUCACCGCAACUACAUUUAUGAAGAUCAUGUUGCAGACUACAUGA